rnacentral:lncRNA from 1 species
GUAUGAUAAAGAUCCAGCAUCGUGGAGAUAGGGGUAAUAAAAGGAUCGCAGUCCCUUCCCAUACUACAGCGAACUCAAGGUGUUCCAUGCGGAUAAGUUAUUUCGGGGGAAUACCUGGCGUCCAUGAGUCCCAUAGUAGGUCUCUAGUUGGUUGCGAUAGUCCCUUGACAUACCAGUCUCCCCUGGAAGACACCAAUCUACCAACUCCAGAUGCUCCUGCAUUCUCAAUGGAUGAUGUUCUCCUUUUGGAUCCGCCCAAAGGCAAGUUAAAACGGAAGGAGCAGAGGAUGAUCCUGAUUAAGGACAACCCUUCUGGGUGUCACGCUUGCCUCCUUUACCGCAGUAAUGAGUACUAUCGAAGUCUUCGCUAUUCUGAUCCCAAUUUCAUAGGUG